CACAGACUUUCAUUCUGAAUUGUAAUUCACCUUGUCUGUGAAAUGAGAGCAUUUUACUUAACACUUCCAUAGUUUGCUAUUAGUAAUUUAACGAGCCUGUUUGUCGGUUUCUUUCAGGAUAGAAUGACCCAGAAGAUCGUGGGGCAGCUAAGCUUCUAGGAGGAUGUGAAGUUGUCCAUCUUCAGCAGUCUGGUUGAAGCUGGAGGAUAGAAUGACCCAGAAUAUCGUGGGAUGUCUAAGCUUCAAGGAGGAUGUGAAGUUGCACGUCUUGCAACUUGUGACUUGCACCUGGUGGGCAGCUGUUGCUAGCCAAUGGCUCGACGAGCAUACCGCUUCCCACUUAUUUAAUUACUACAGGGCUCCCGAUGGAGUAUCUGCUUAGCAGGUCCCAUUCUUGAUCCUCAGCACUGCGAAGAAAACACAGAAGAGAAAUAAAGGCUGCUGCGUAGUUUUGGAUCA
rnacentral:lncRNA from 1 species